rnacentral:piRNA from 1 species
UUCCCAUCACACAGUGCUCCUGAGAAUGGGUU